rnacentral:rRNA from 1 species
GAUGAACGCUGGCGGCGUGCCUAAUACAUGCAAGUCGAGCGAACGGACGAGAAGCUUGCUUCUCUGAUGUUAGCGGCGGACGGGUGAGUAACACGUGGAUAACCUACCUAUAAGACUGGGAUAACUUCGGGAAACCGGAGCUAAUACCGGAUGAUAUUUUGAACCGCAUGGUUCAAAAGUGAAAGACGGUCUUGCUGUCACUUAUAGAUGGAUCCGCGCUGCAUUAGCUAGUUGGUAAGGUAACGGCUUACCAAGGCAACGAUGCAUAGCCGACCUGAGAGGGUGAUCGGCCACACUGGAACUGAGACACGGUCCAGACUCCUACGGGAGGCAGCAGUAGGGAAUCUUCCGCAAUGGGCGAAAGCCUGACGGAGCAACGCCGCGUGAGUGAUGAAGGUCUUCGGAUCGUAAAACUCUGUUAUAGGGAAGAACAUAUGUGUAAGUAACUGUGCACAUCUUGACGGUACCUAAUCAGAAAGCCACGGCUAACUACGUG